rnacentral:rRNA from 1 species
AUUGAACGCUGGCGGCAGGCUUAACACAUGCAAGUCGAGCGGAGAUGAGGUGCUUGCACCUUAUCUUAGCGGCGGACGGGUGAGUAAUGCUUAGGAAUCUGCCUAUUAGUGGGGGACAACAUUCCGAAAGGAAUGCUAAUACCGCAUACGUCCUACGGGAGAAAGCAGGGGAUCUUCGGACCUUGCGCUAAUAGAUGAGCCUCAGUCGGAUUAGCUAGUUGGUGGGGUAAGGGCCUACCAAGGCGACGAUCUGUAGCGGGUCUGAGAGGAUGAUCCGCCACACUGGGACUGAGACACGGCCCAGACUCCUACGGGAGGCAGCAGUGGGGAAUAUUGGACAAUGGGCGGAAGCCUGAUCCAGCCAUGCCGCGUGUGUGAAGAAGGCCUUUUGGUUGUAAAGCACUUUAAGCGAGGAGGAGGCUACCUAGAUUAAUACUCUGGGAUAGUGGACGUUACUCGCAGAAUAAGCACCGGCUAACUCUGUGCCAGCCGCCGCAGUAAUAC